UACAGAGGUCCCAAGCGUUGUUCGGAUUCAUUGGGCGUAAAGGGUGCGUAGGCGGCGCGGUAAGUCGGGUGUGAAAUCUCGGGGCUUAACUCCGAAACUGCAUUCGAUACUGCCGUGCUUGAGGACUGGAGAGGAGACUGGAAUUUACGGUGUAGCAGUGAAAUGCGUAGAUAUCAAGAGGAACACCAGUGGCGAAGGCGAGUCCCUGGACAAUACCUGACACUGAGGCACGAAAGCCGGGGGAGCAAACAGG
rnacentral:rRNA from 1 species